AGCUUUGCACAGUGGCAGUAUCAUAGCCAAUGAGGUUUAUCCAAGGCACGAUUAUUGCUAAUUGAAAAAUACUUCCUUUUUUUUGCUGAAUGCCUGUUUACAAGAUGUGUAUUUUCCACUGGUAUCCAAGUCAAAGACACAUAAGAGC